rnacentral:lncRNA from 1 species
GGGCUGGAUCCUGACCGGCAUUCUGCACUAAAGAUCUGAAUUACAAAUUUAGAGAAUUUGCUGCUCGACAACGAAUGCAGGAAGGACCUCACUGGCUGCUGGGAACAACUGCCCUUUUGAAUGAAUUCUUUUAUGGUUACCAGUCAAAAAGUCACCGUCAGCUGGAACUGGAAGGGAGGGGCAUUUCUUAUCUGGGCAAAAAGCACCUGUACCCAGCGAGGUGAAACUUGCAAAUGAUACUGUCACCUUCCUCAAUGGACUGCAGCUCAGGAGCUCACCAAAGGUUGCAGCAG